rnacentral:rRNA from 1 species
UACGGAGGGUGCAAGCGUUAAUCGGAAUUACUGGGCGUAAAGCGCACGCAGGCGGUCUGUCAAGUCGGAUGUGAAAUCCCCGGGCUCAACCUGGGAACUGCAUUCGAAACUGGCAGGCUAGAGUCUUGUAGAGGGGGGUAGAAUUCCAGGUGUAGCGGUGAAAUGCGUAGAGAUCUGGAGGAAUACCGGCGGCGAAGGCGGUCUGCUGGGCCAAGACUGACGCUGAGGCGCGACAGCGUGGGGAGCAAACAGG